CUUCAUCCUAAUGGUUCUACCAAA
rnacentral:siRNA from 1 species